rnacentral:rRNA from 1 species
AGAGUUUGAUCCUGGCUCAGGACGAACGCUGACGGUGUGCUUUAGACAUGCAAGUCGAACGAGAAAGCCCUUCGGGGUGAGUACAGUGGCGAACGGGUGAGUAACACGUGGGUAACCUGCCCCUCGCAGGGGGACAACCGGGGGAAACCCCGGCUAAUACCCCGUACGCUCCGAGGUCCGCAUGGGCCACGGAGGAAAGGUAGCUUCGGCCAUCCGGCGAGGGAUGGGCCCGCGGUCCAUUAGCUGGUUGGUGGGGUAACGGCCUACCAAGGCGACGAUGGAUAGCUGGUCUGAGAGGAUGAUCAGCCACACUGGGACUGAGACACGGCCCAGACUCCUACGGGAGGCAGCAGUCGGGAAUCUUGCGCAAUGGGCGAAAGCCUGACGCAGCAACACCGUGUGGGCGACGAAGGCCUUCGGGUCGUAAAGCCCUGUUGUUGGGGACGAAGGGCGAAGGGUUAAUAGCCCCUAGCUUGACGGUACCCUUCGAGGAAGCCCCGGCUAACUACGUGCCAGCAGCCGCGGUAAUACGUAGGGGGCGAGCGUUGUCCGGAAUUAUUGGGCGUAAAGAGCGUGUAGGCGGUCCGGUAAGUCUGCCGUGAAAACCCGGGGCUCAACCCCGGGCGUGCGGUGGAUACUGCCGGGCUAGAGGGUGGUAGAGGCGAGUGGAAUUCCCGGUGUAGCGGUGAAAUGCGCAGAUAUCGGGAGGAACACCAGUAGCGAAGGCGGCUCGCUGGGCCAUUCCUGACGCUGAGACGCGAAAGCUAGGGGAGCGAACAGGAUUAGAUACCCUAGUAGUCC